CGGAAACAAUAUCACAGUCAAUGUACCAGGAACUGUGAAUCUAGUAGUGAGUGCAAAGACAAGGUGCCGUGUCAAAGGAAAGAUUAAUGCAUCACGAAUCUUGGAGCAGACCAGUGUAGAAUUAAGGAUCAGUCAUAGCAGCAACCAGAUUUGCACAGAAUGGAGUGGUGCAUUUCAUUACAAUAAGGAUUUGGCCUGUUUAGAAGGACUAGAUGACAUUUUAAUUGACGUGGAUGUCA